rnacentral:pre_miRNA from 1 species
CGGAGGAGCGUAGGAACGUGGGCUGUGACCCCUGGCGCCCUGGGCUCUGGGGCCUGCGCCGCUGGAAUCGCGGUCUUGGGCCACACAGCCCCCU